AAAAAGAUAAACUCUGGGUUUCCGGGUCCAACUUUAAUGGUCCGUCUUAUAUGAAAUUUUUUUAUAAUUCGUAUUUUCAUUGUUGUUAGAUGAUAAAACAUUAUUAAUAUUUUAUACGUGACUUGUCUUUUUAAUUUUUUUUAUAAUUUUUUUAAAUAAAAUGAACGGUCAAAUAUUGGACACGGAAACCAGGGUGUCUUUCUU
rfam:Oryza nivara chromosome 8, whole genome shotgun sequence.